rnacentral:rRNA from 1 species
UACGAAGGGUGCAAGCGUUAAUCGGAAUUACUGGGCGUAAAGCGUGCGUAGGCGGUUUCUUAAGUCUGCUGUGAAAGCCCUGGGCUCAACCUGGGAAUGGCGGUGGAUACUGAGAAGCUGGAGUACGGUAGAGGAAGGUGGAAUUCCCGGUGUAGCGGUGAAAUGCGUAGAGAUCGGGAGGAACAUCAGUGGCGAAGGCGGCACUCUGGGCCGGAACUGACGCUGAGGAGCGAAAGCGUGGGUAGCAAACAGG